UACGUAGGUGGCAAGCGUUGUCCGGAAUUAUUGGGCGUAAAGCGCGCGCAGGCGGCCUCUUAAGUCUGAUGUGAAAGCCCCCGGCUCAACCGGGGAGGGCCAUUGGAAACUGGGAGGCUUGAGUAUAGGAGAGAAGAGUGGAAUUCCACGUGUAGCGGUGAAAUGCGUAGAGAUGUGGAGGAACACCAGUGGCGAAGGCGACUCUUUGGCCUUUAACUGACGCUGAGGCGCGAAAGCGUGGGGAGCAAACAGG
rnacentral:rRNA from 1 species